GAAACACUGGUCCUCGUACGAUCAGUAAAGUUAAGCAACGUCGAGCCUGGUCAGUAUCUAGCUGUGUAACGACUUGGGAAUACCAGGUGCUGUAAG